rnacentral:rRNA from 1 species
GACGAACGCUGGCGGCGUGCCUAAUACAUGCAAGUAGGACGCAGUUGCGAACGGGUGAGUAACGCGUAGGUAACUGCCUAUUAGAGGGGGAUAACUAUUGGACACGAUAGCUAAUACCGCAUACUAGUAGAUGGACCUGGGUUGUAUUAGCUAGUAGGUAGGGUAAUGGCCUACCUAGGGGAAGAUACAUAGCCUAUCUUGGAGUGAGAGCCGGCACACUGGGACUGAGAAACGGCCCAGGAUCCUACGGGAGGCAGGAGUAGGGAAUUUUCGGAAAAGGGGGGAACCCUGGCCAAACAACGCCGCGUGAGUGAAGAAGGUUUUCGGAUCGUAAAGCUCUGUUGUUAAGGGAGCGGUACUUAACCAGAAAGGGACGGCUAACUACGUGCCAGCAGCCGCGGUAAUGC